rnacentral:rRNA from 1 species
UACGUAGGUGGCGAGCGUUGUCCGGAAUUACUGGGUGUAAAGCGCGUGUAGGCGGGAGGCCAAGUCUGCGGUGAAAUCGCUCGGCUCAACUGGGCGGGGUCCGUGGAAACUGGUCACCUGGAGGACGGUAGAGGCGAGUGGAAUUCCCGGUGUAGUGGUGAAAUGCGCAGAUAUCAGGAGGAACACCGGUGGCGAAGGCGGGUCUCUGGGCCGAUAUUGACGCUGAGGAGCGAAAGCGUGGGGAGCUAACAGG